rnacentral:misc_RNA from 1 species
AAGUCGUAACAAGGUUUCCGUAGGUGAACCUGCGGAAGGAUCAUUAAAAAAUAAUCCCUUGGAUUAUAAAUCCAUACCCACCUUAUGUGCACCGUAACUUGUCCAUUGCUUUUCUUCCCGGAUUUUCUCUACUGAGAGGCCUCCUUUGGGGGCGUUUGGUAUCGGGAUGCCGGGGAGGAGAGCGAUAUAUCACACACUUAUUUUCCCUUACUGAGUCUGAAGUAUAACUUUUUGCGAAAGCAGAAAUUAUUAAAACAACUUUCAACAACGGAUCUCUUGGCUCCC